ACGGGGUACUUAGGUACCUAGUGGCGGACGGGUGAGUAACGCGUGAGAAUCUGGCCUCAGGCCCGGGACAACCACUGGAAACGGUGGCUAAUACCGGAUGUGCCAUUAGGUGAAAGAUUAAUUGCCUGAGGAUGAGCUCGCGUCUGAUUAGCUAGUUGGUGGGGUAAGAGCCUACCAAGGCUGCGAUCAGUAACUGGUCUGAGAGGAUGACCAGUCACACUGGGACUGAGACACGGCCCAGACUCCUACGGGAGGCAGCAGUGGGGAAUUUUCCGCAAUGGGCGAAAGCCUGACGGAGCAAUACCGCGUGAGGGAGGAAGGCUCUUGGGUUGUAAACCUCUUUUCUCAGGGAAGAAUACUGACGGUACCUGAGGAAUCAGCAUCGGCUAACUCCGUGCCAGCAGCCGCGGUAAUACGGAGGAUGCAAGCGUUAUCCGGAAUUAUUGGGCGUAAAGCGUCUGUAGGUGGACAUUCAAGUCUGCUGUCAAAGACCGGGGCUCAACCCUGGAAAGGCGGUGGAAACUGAAAGUCUAGAGUGCGGUAGGGGCAGAGGGAAUUCCCAGUGUAGCGGUGAAAUGCGUAGAGAUUGGGAAGAACACCGGUGGCGAAAGCGCUCUGCUAGGCCAAAACUGACACUGAGGGACGAAAGCUAGGGGAGCGAAUGGGAUUAGAUAC
rnacentral:rRNA from 1 species